CAUUUUCUCCACCCUGUUCUCAAUUUUACAGUAGCUUCUAGCUCAGGCACUUAGGCAUCUGAACUGCCAAAUGAGGUUUUGAAAGGUAUGUUAACAUUUGCAUACAUUUUCAAGAACAUCUUUAUUUAUGCCUCUCUCUAGUAGUAAAUUUUAAUCCUGCUAACAGCAGGAAUAAAUGUAGUGGGCAGAAUAAAGCAGACUCUUGGAGCUCAACUUAUUUUUCUUAUUCUCUUCAAACAAUGUAUAGCCUUUCAAGCUUGCCUAUAAAGGACAAAAUUCUCUACACAGAAGAAAGGCUUUUUUUGCUAAGCCAGAGACAAACCUAUGUGCCUCUGUAGAAAGCAGAAAGGAGAUUGAAACCGCCUUAAGACAACUGAAGUAUCUUUUAUUUCCUAUACUAUUUAACGAUGGUUGCUAUUACUUUCAGAAUCUAGUAUUUUGCAGGUAAUAAAAAGAGUGAAAAUCAAUCAAAACAACAGAGCACAUCUCCCAGAGGACAAAAAAAAACUCCUCAAUAUAUAACGGGAUGCCAAAAAGCAAGUGUUAAAAUAACCUGCAUCACGUAGAAUGCUACAAUAAGGAAUGGAGACAAAACACAGACCUAUAAAAGAGACAGCUCACAUUUUAAUUGAAGAAUCGAACAGCUCCUGAUCAGUCAGCGUGCUCUGUGCAGGCACUUCUGAAAGGCAGAGCUGCACUGCAUAACACAGAGUUCAGGCUGCAGAGUUCCUAGGAGGGUUUAAAGACCCAAAUUGCUUUUAUUAUUACUAGCUAGGUAUCAGUAAUCCCCCAAAAGGGAAACUCAAGUUUUCCCCAUCGGGGACACUUGGGGAGCUGACACAGAAAUCUUACUGGAAGAAAAAAAUAAGCAGGAGGUUUUACAGAGCCUUAUUGUCAUCACUUCUCAAAGAGAGCGAGGCAAUGCUUAAGACCUCAGUGCCAGUAGAGUCAAUGCAAGCUUUAGAGGAACUUGAAUAGUGGUGUGUUUGGGUUUUUUUUUUUUUAAUUCCCCCUUCAGUUUUCUCUCAGAUCCAAUUAAUACAGAAAGCAAUUGCCUGAUUCACCUAUUAUUCAGGUCUCACUUGCCCUGUCAUAUCUAACACUUGCUCCUAAGGUCUGCUGAGCCUUACAGCAUCUACUGUGCUUCUGAGCACUCCAUAAAUAAAUAGUAUGAACCAUAAUGAGAACACUAAUGAAAUCUGCAGCUCUGUGAUUGAAAACUCUCCCUUCUCAAGCUGUAUGUUUUAAGGAAAAUCGAAGGGAUGAAUUGUAGCACCUAAUGGCAUCAAGACUUGUGUGUUAAUGCAUUUCUUGCAAUUCCCAAAUAUUACAGAAACACUGACGUUUUGUAUGUGGUACAGUCUUAUGAUUUGAAAGAUGCCGCGCUGCCGGCUAGGGAUUUAAGAGCUGCCACUGGCAAGGCAAAAUUGCACAAAAAUAAAAUAAAGUACAAAAGAUGUGAAAAGGUAAAAUGUGGUAGCCAGGCAGAGAUAUUUUCAGCAUGCUGGUUAAAAGUGUGGAGGGAAUCGAGCAAGGCACACGCUGCUAAGAGAGGAGGCUGACAGAGGAGGAAAAGCAAAUGACUGAAAAACCUGCUGAGCCCAAAAAUGCUACUUUUAGAUCAAAAACAUGAAUCUCCAUGUUGCAUAUCCCACAAAUGAGGCUCAGAGGAUUAAAACGUCACAUCUGUGGUUCUGCAAAUAACUGUGAUGGGUGGAAUUAGCACCCGUGCUUCUGAUUCCUCCUGGUGCCUGCAGCAAAGAAAAGGGUUAAAUGAAAACCGCACAAGCAGGAGACUUCAGUAGGUUUCUGACCUACUGCAGAGACUGCUGUGGAGGUCUGCCACGGGAAACUGUACCAGGGCUCAGAUGAGGCUAAUUGCUCCACGAGGGAGAGAAAUCAGGAAAUACACCAAGAACAAAAUACAUAAAUAAAUAAAUAAAAUAAAAUAAAGGGAAAAAAGACUUCUAAUAUUCUAAAUUUGGAUAGACCCAAGGGCCAGAACUUCCCUGGGAAGAAGUAAAGAGAGACUGCAAAGAGCCUUUUUUCUUAGCAUUUAUUUGAAUUCUGAUUUCAAGAAGCUUUUUGCCUCUCUUUAAAUUCAGGCUGCAUUAAUAUAUACUUGGACUAACAUUUAGGGAGGUAGCCAGUAGGGAUACUGACAUAUUUAAGGCCCCUCGUUUUUUAUAUAUUUGUCACUUUUUAAAUAUAAGCCUAUGAAAUAAAGUGUGCAGGCGUUUUGUGUGGCUACAACUGUGAGCUCUUAUCCUUGCCUUCCAUUUCUCAGCCUCCCCAUUUGGAAUUGAUGCCCUGGUUUUCGUUUAUAUAAUAGUGGAAAAAUAUUUGGGGGCAAAGAUACCCUUCCUGUAUAUUGCUAGGAUUCUCAGCAUUCUCUAAUCCCACUAUUAUCAUUGUAUUGUUGGCACAGCUCUCAGUGUACACAUUUUGACAGGUGUUGCUCUUGACUUUCACCCUGUUGAGUCAUAACAGCAAAACAGUUGCUCAACUCUAACACAGCUGUACUCUGAUAUUAAUCCAUGUUCUCACAAAGCAUUUCUGGAACAUGGUUUAAAAUUACGACUUCAGUAACAUAUUAUGGCAUAGAAUCACUGUUAGUUAAACAAUGGAAUAGAGAAAAAUAAAUAUAGCCCUUCCAAUCAACCCUACACAGAUAAAAAAGAAUUUCAUCUUCAGUUGUUAAAAAAACUACUGAAGUUAUCAGGUGAUUCGAUUAGAUCUGGUCAGGAGAAAAUUCUGCGUUUGAUAAAAAAUCAGCAGAACCAAGCCAAACAGAUUUUACUAUCAUUUCCAUUCUUCUAAAACAUUCAAUUUAAUUUUUUUAGCUCUUUUUAUUAUUGUCAAAACUGGAAAAAUAUUAUUUCAUUUUCACAAAAGCAUGAAAAAAUUGUCUUAUUCUCCUAUGGAAACUUCCAUUUUGAUGGAAAAGCAGAUUUUGGUUCAAUAAACGCCUCAACACAUUUGUUUUCCAAUAAAUAGCAGAAC
ensembl:lncRNA